CGCGUAGGCGGUCAGCACAAGUCAGUUGUGAAAUCUCCGGGCUUAACUCGGAAAGGUCAACUGAUACUGUGCGACUAGAGUGCAGAAGGGGCAACUGGAAUUCUCGGUGUAGCGGUGAAAUGCGUAGAUAUCGAGAGGAACACCUGCGGCGAAGGCGGGUUGCUGGGCUGACACUGACGCUGAUGCGCGAAACGCGAGGGAGCGGAAC
rnacentral:rRNA from 1 species